UGGAGCAACUUGCACAGGUUCAGGUUUCGCCACCUUGGCUCACAACUGAUUCAAACCAAUCAAUAAUCACAGCUGUCGGCAAUUAUUGAUAUGAACUGAUAUGGAACGUUUUCAUCGCGAUAGGUUUUCCAGCCACAUCGACCAAAACAUUUUGUUUUCUAUUUGAAGUGUAAAAAGUCAGCAUGAAGCCAUGCUUAGGUGUGAAAUGGAAGAAAAAGCAUUUACAGCGAGAUAAACUGUAAAUGCUUUUGAAGCACUUUUCCAUUUAGCUUAGCGGCGAAAUUAAGAGAACGGAAACAAUGGGAACACUUCUUUAACAUCACGAGUGACGUGAUCAGCAGCAGGACGUUAUUAUUGGAGGAAAAGACGAAGAAGAUGACAGGAAGUGGUAGGAGGACGAUGGUUUUCUUUAGUGGGAGGGGCACCGAAAGCGACUCCAGCCCAGGAAAACGCAUCCUUGUAAGUCCGGCCCUGGAAUCCAGCUGCCUUCAGGUCACUAACAUCUCCUCUUGUAAGGUCGUAGGUCAUCCUUCAUGAGAAAGUCGCGUCGAGCCUCAGUGUCACCGAAAAUGAAGCCAACCUGUCACUGCGGAAAGAAAAGAGGGAAAAAAACAAACAAAAACAAAACUGCAGAUGCUGACGGAGCCCGUUGGCGCCACCUUCAAAAGUGAGUCAAAGCCGACAGUCGAUCCAAGUGAAGACGCGCGGAGCUCGUCUCAGAAAGACACAUGUUGGAGGCGUAGAAUGGAAAAAGAGCCUCGGCAAAUCCUCCCGUUCAGACGCCGUCACCCAGCAGAUCCGCUGAACGACAACAUCCAGCUGGAACUCAUGCGGCCGGUUCCUACACCUCUCCUUUAGGUUGUUACAAAUUCAUACUCUGCAGGCAGUGUGGUCUUUUUGCCUGACGUCAAACUCUGCUUCAUUUUAGGCCAUGUCAAAAAUCGGAACGAUCCUAAAGGGCCGGUUGUGUCAGA